CCUACGGGAGGCAGCAGUGGGGAAUAUUGCACAAUGGGGGAAACCCUGAUGCAGCGACGCCGCGUGAGUGAAGAAGUAAUUCGUUAUGUAAAGCUCUAUCAGCAGGGAAGAAAAUGACGGUACCUGAGUAAGAAGCCCCGGCUAACUACGUGCCAGCAGCCGCGGUAAUACGUAGGGGGCAAGCGUUAUCCGGAUUUACUGGGUGGAAAGGGAGCGUAGACGGCAGUGCAAGUCUGGAGUGAAAGGCGGGGGCUCAACCCCCGGACUGCUCUGGAAACUGUACGGCGGGAGUGCAGGAGAGGUAAGUGGAAUUCCUGGUGUAGCGGUGAAAUGCGUAGAUAUUAGGAGGAACACCAGUGGCGAAGGCGGCUUACUGGACUGUAACUGACGUUGAGGCUCGAAAGCGUGGGGAGCAAACAGGAUUAGAUACCCUUGUAGUC
rnacentral:rRNA from 1 species